CCUACGGGAGGCAGCAGUGAGGAAUAUUGGUCAAUGGACGAGAGUCUGAACCAGCCAAGUAGCGUGAAGGAUGACUGCCCUAUGGGUUGUAAACUUCUUUUAUAUGGGAAUAAAAUGUUCCACGUGUGGGAUUUUGUAUGUACCAUAUGAAUAAGGAUCGGCCAACUCCGUGCCAGCAGCCGCGGUAAUACGGAGGAUCCGAGCGUUAUCCGGAUUUAUUGGGUUUAAAGGGAGCGUAGGUGGAUUGUUAAGUCAGUUGUGAAAGUUUGCGGCUCAACCGUAAAAUUGCAGUUGAAACUGGCAGUCUUGAGUACAGUAGAGGUGGGCGGAAUGCGUGGUGUAGCGGUGAAAUGCUUAGAUAUCACGAAGAACUCCGAUUGCGAAGGCAGUUCACUGGACUGCAACUGACACUGAGGCUCGAAAGUGUGGGUAUCAAACAGGAUUAGAUACCCGAGUAGUC
rnacentral:rRNA from 1 species